GAUGAACGCUAGCGGGAGGCUUAACACAUGCAAGUCGAGCGGUAGGGCAGCAAUGCCUGAGAGCGGCGCACGGGUGCGUAACGCGUAUGCAACCUGCCUUAUACAGGGGAAUAGCCCAUGGAAACGUGGAUUAAUGUCCCAUAGGAUUACGGAUUCGCAUGGAUUUGUGAUUAAAACUGAGGUGGUAUAAGAUGGGCAUGCGUCUGAUUAGAUAGUUGGUAGGGUAAUGGCCUACCAAGCCGACGAUCAGUAGGGGUUCUGAGAGGAUUACCCCCCACACUGGUACUGAGACACGGACCAGACUCCUACGGGAGGCAGCAGUGAGGAAUAUUGGUCAAUGGCCGGAAGGCUGAACCAGCCAUCCCGCGUGCAGGAUGACGGCCCUAUGGGUUGUAAACUGCUUUUGUACCUGAAGAAACCUGUUUACGAGUAGACAGUUGCCGGUAAGGUAUGAAUAAGCAUCGGCUAACUCCGUGCCAGCCGCCGCUGUAACAC
rnacentral:rRNA from 1 species